rnacentral:lncRNA from 1 species
CUGCCCUCAGGUGUUGAGAUGCAGCUGGGGGCCGGGGGAGCGCUCUGCAGGAGGGGGAAGCCGAUGUGGAAACCCCUCAGCUACACCCAGGCCCCAGCCUCCCACCAGAUCUGGAGCCUUGGAGGGCAGGGAUUUGUGUCUGAAUCACCUCUGUGCACUCUCCCCGCCUCCCUCCUCCCUCUCCUUGGAUUAUAAGGAAGUCAAACUGUCUCCACACAGCAAAGAGCUUUUGACCGCUGGGGCCCACAGGCUUCGAAAGGCCCAGAGCAGGGACAGGGCAUCUAUGCAGGGCCACUUUCCACCAGCAAAGCUCAGAACGGAAUCAGCAAGAGUAGGUGGGAGGGAGGGUGGCUGGGGGCUGUCCAGGUGAGGGGCUGCAGGGAUGGAGGGAAGCAUUAUCAAGGGGGGAGGCUAAUUCACCUCCCACCAAAAACCCAGCAUCGGGCCAGCCACAGUGCUGGCCACGCAAAUAUCCACGAGGUAGCCUCCACCUCCACCAGUAAGCCCUUGACUCCUGGGAGCUGCUCAGGGACUCCAGCUCCUGGAGGUUACACGGAUUCCCAAGCUGGGAACCCCUGAAUUAUUUUAGGGGAUCUCUCAUCCCGUAUGUGCAGCCAACACUGCUGGUAGACCAAACAAAUACUAUGUUUCACACGUGAACAUCUUUCAAACCAAAAUAGAAGCUGCUUUGAUAAAUAAAAUUCACAGACUCCAAAGUUAUCUAAAAAUUGGUUCUUAACAGCUUCCUGUCAUCCUGUAGUUUUUCAAUCUUGGAUAUUAACCCUUGUGUGUGGGGUUAAUAUGGCAUGGGGGCAGGGGGUGUCUCAUAAUUUCUGAUGAUAAACAGGUCUCUUCCCUUUACUUGAAAAGCCCGGGAGUGCAAAUGGAGUUCCCAUACUUCACGGUGUGGGGGAAGGAUCAGAGGAUGAGGCCUGUACUGCUGGACCUCGGGUGGAGACCGCAGCCCAGGGCUCCCUGCUCUGCAGGGCUCUGGAAGAUGAGGGGAUCUGGGGGCCCAGAGCCAGGCACCCCAGUGUUACUGGCCUGCCUGCCCCCAGCAGACCAGCAGUCCUCCAAGGCAGCAGCUGGGCCAAGGCUGAGUCUCUCAGGAGUCCUGGGCAGUCAGCACGUAGCUGGGUGACCACGGAGGCAGGCAGGCAGGAGGCGCCUGGACAAGGGGGCUGACAUUCACAGCAGGCUGGGCUGGCUGAGGGCUUUGAGCCCAGCUCUCCACCUGCUAGCUGUGUGGCCACUGAGCACUCAGGAUGUGGCUGGGGUGAUGGAGACUGAGUUUUUCAUUUUGUGAAUUUUAAUCAGUGAACAUUUAAAUAGCCACCUAUAGCUGGUGGCUACUGCUCUGGGCAGCCUGGCUCUGGAGGCUUCGUAGGGACGGGGAAUGGAAAUGGCCCUGAAGGUGAGCCAGCCAGCUUAGCUCCCCCUCCCUUCUCAGCAAGGAUUUGAGGGUCCCCCUUGCAGAGCAAAGGCUGCAGUGUCUGGACAAGCCUCAGCUCCCUCCCUGGUCCGGUCCAGGCAUCUGCACACAUCACAGCACACAGAGUGCCACUGCCCAGAGCAGUGCACACAAAACCAGGUACUCUGUCUGAUAUGAGCAACUUAAGGGCUCUUCAAGGGGAAUUUUAUGAUAGUAACUUUUUGACUUUGUAUAUAAUGACUUUAGAGCUUACUCCCCUCACCCCAACCUGUGUGAAAUAACAGCCCAGCAAAAUCCUAAUGAUACAUAUCUUGUGAUUGCCAAAUAUGACCACAAAUUCCUCCCAUCCUGGUACCCAGGCCUCUCCUGGGUAGCCCCCUCCUCCCACCUGAGCUGGGGGCUACUUCCCCUCCCCUUGGGCAUACGACUUUCCUUUCAGGAGAAGGUGGCAGAGGUGAUGGCUGUGCCUCAAGAGGCCUCACGGCUUCUGGUUCAUUCUAGAAGUGCAGCCUCAGAUGCCAUGUGGAAGGUGUGAUUGGGGCACGUGGAGGGAACUGAAGGGACCCCGGUGUGAGAGGCUUGUCUGCCAUUGUGGGGGCCAUGUGGAGGGAACUAAGGGGACCCCCAUGUGAGGAGGCUGGUCUACCAUUGUGGUGGGGGCACAUGGAGGGGCCUGAGCUGCCUGGCCGCCAGCCAGCAUCCACUGGCAGACAUGGGAGUGGGGCCUUCUUGGAACUUCCAGCCCAGCUGAGCAUAGCCAAGGGCAACCAGCACAACUGCCCAGAUCUUCCAAACACACAAUCACGUGUUUUAAGACACUAUGUUCUGUGUAGUUUGUUACACAGCAAAAUCUAACUGAAACACACGCGCACACAGCCCCCACUCUAGAGACUGCCAGCUGGUGUUGCAGUUCAGGGCCCACCCACGGCCCCAGGAGGCAGCAGCACACCCGGAAGCACUGCCUGGGCCCAGGGGCAGGGGCAUGAGAAGUGUCCAUGGGCCGCUGGGGAACUCUACCUUUUAAACAGAGCAGAAACCCACGUGGAGCCCAGAGACAGGCCGUCUUUGGCAGAUGCCUGGGGUCUGUGCUCUGGGCCGGGCUCUGACUGGCGGAGCCCCUGCAGCCUGGCCUCUCCUGACAUGUUUGCAGUCAAAAUCACAAAGCUCUGCUACCGGCGGGUAUCUCUCUCCCCAUUUUAUAGAUGAGGAAACAGAUUCAGGAGCAGGAGACACUUGUCCAAAGUCGGUUUUGCUAGGCUUUGUCCUCCUCCAGGUCUUUUUGGCCCCCAUCCCUGCAGUGGUAGGGGUGCCCCUAAUUCACAAGGGUGGAGUGCAGGAGAGGAAGCUGGCAGGGGCUGCAUGAGACUGUGGGGAGGGAAUCACGUGUCUUCAUGCAGACAGAGCCCAAGGCACUUAGGGUCGGGGGACAGAACCCCUAGGAAGAGGGUCAGGGGAGCUGCAGCAAGGACUCUGUCUCCAGCUGGUAUGCGGGAUCCAGACAGAGCAGGUGGGGCUGGCUCUGUAACUGGCCUGUCGGCCGUUCUAAACAUCCAGAGAACUGAGUAGUGGGGACGCCAGCUGUGGGCCCAGCUGCCCCUGGGAGGAGGGCAGAGGCCAGCCUGGCUCUCUACCUGCCCCACCCACUGCACCGGUCCACCCUCCGUGUCUCUAAGGAAAGCUAGGUUCUAGGUCUCAAUUCUGAUGCUGCCACUUUCUGGCUGGCAAGGAACUUGCGCGAGUCACUUGGCUUGCCUCAGUUUCCCCCCCUGCAAGAUAGGGCAGAUAUUCCUGUUGGACAGGAUUUAUUGUGAGAAUGGAAUGAGAUCAUAGUUGGGACCAUACUCCUACACACAUUAGAGCUUAUCACCCAUUUCGCACUUGAAAAACAUCCCGUUUUCUUUGCUGCUGCUUGAAAGCCUCCGCAGGCCACCCACUCCUCACUUCUGGGUCUGCCUAUCUCUGCGGUUUCUGUGCUUGCAGAUGAAAUGUAAUUCUUGGCUGUUGGAAGUUUGGGGCUGAGCCCAGCCAUCCCUCCCUGUCUCUGGGGCCCCACCCGUACCCCGCCCCAGAGUCCAGAGCCCCCAGCACGUCCAGCUUACCAAUGGAGCCCACCCUUCCCCGGAGCAAGGUCACAGAAUCCCCUGUCCUGUGGGAGGAGAGCUUGGUGAUUUCUCAAAGUCCUUGCAGCUCUGACCUUCUAAGCCUGCACUCCUCUAGGAAGCCAGGUGAGAGAGCAGAGGAACUACCCUUCCAUAAGCCCACCCCAGGAACCCCAGGGAGGGGCCAGGUGCCUGGCCUUCUGAGUGUCUGUACCUGAAGAUGAAACGGGGUUACUUAGGUACUUCUUGGCAGUUCUGAAGUUCAGGACUGAACCUAGCUGCCUCUCCUGGCUAUGUCCGUCCAUUACCAUCACCACCUUGUCACCCUCCGUCUGGGGUCUGAGGCCAAGCUGGACACCUCUCCUUCCCGCGUCGAAGCUCAGAGGUGAGCCUCAGCUGACCCUCCCUCCAGCAAAUGUUUAGAGAAUGAGGUAAGCAUCCUCCACCAGUGACCGUCAGGCUGUCCACUGUCCAACCCAGACGUCCUCUCUGAGAGUGCUGCCAUUAGUCUCCAAACCCUCUGUCCUUUGAGCCUGAAUCCCCAGGGGGCUGUUCAUACUCCUCUUCCCUCUGCCACCUGGCUGGCCCCCAUCUUUGCUAGCCACCUCCUUCUUGCUCUCAGUUCCCCUCCUCAGGGAGGCCCUCACUGACCACCGCCAAGUCGCUCCCCACUGCAGCCUCCUGCUUCAUUUUCCUGACUGUGAUGUUGGAAAUGCUCGUUUGUGUGUUUGUUUACUUGUCACCUCUCUGCCUCCCCCAACCCCCAAAUGCCAGCUCUGUGAGGGAGGGGGUCUCACGCUGGUGUCCUCACUGCUUUGAGCGGUGCUGGGCACACAGUCAAUAUUAGUUGGUCGAGUUACUGAUAGAACAACGCUCUUGAUCCGGCUCCAGGGCAGAAAGGGGAGCUCACAGAGGAGGGGAUAUCCAGCUAACCCAGUGGGAACCAGACACGCUGGCAAACCCCAUCCCACGGGCUAGGCUUUCAGUUAACCCUCUCAUUCAUGCAUGAGGGGGUGCUUAUUAAGCCAUUUUCCAGAUAAGGCAAUGGAGGCCCAGAGAAGUGAAGUGACUUGCACAAGGCCACAUGGCUUGUAUGCUGCAGAGCUGGGUCUUGGCCUGGCUUUCUGAGAUCGACAGCCCUUUUCCUCUCCAGGGUUCCAAGGCUGUGAUUCCGAGAGAUCACCACACAGGGAAGGAAUCCUGACAGCCUGUGAAGUGCCUGGCACUGGGUCAGGUUAUUUGCCAAGGUUUGUUCAUGUGCCUGCUCUGUCUUCAUAGGUCUAUUUUACAGAUGUCAAACUGAGGCCCAGAGAGGCCUGGUGACUCGCCCUAGGUCACACAGUGCGGUGACAGCCAAUCCAGGACCGGUGCCCGGACUGCCACACCUCUCCAUGUGGUGGCGGUGAAGCUAAAUGGCCUGCUGCCUUGAUUUCCCCUUUGUGCCAUGAGGGUGUGGGCAGGCUGAUUUCUGACAUGGUGUAAUGUCAUCAGGGAGGCGGGACCUUGCCUGAGAAGCCUUAGGGCUGAAAAGGGAAGCGCAGAGUGGCUGUUUCCCCAUCCUGCCCGCUCUCCGCCCUGGCCCUGAGCCAGGUGGGCGGCCAACUCCCUUUGACCACUUCCUGGGGUAACUCCCCCGGAAAUGCCCCAGAUGCCCGCAGCCCAAGUAUAACUCCAACUUCCAGGCUCAGGACCCUCAUCCCUCACCUCCUCCUGCCAAGAUCACCCCAAGCAGAAACCAGGAUCAUAACAAACUCUACCUCACGGGGCUGACCCGAAGGGAUGAUGCAUAGCAGAACACAUGGCUCAGCUGGCCAGCCGGCAGGUCUUAGCAGGUCAUAGUGGCGGAAUGACCAGCCCACAAGUCUUAGCAGGUCGCAAUGGUGGAUGCAGGAUGUUUCUGCCUGACCAGCCUCCAUUCUCACUUCCGAACAGUUUCUGCCUGGAUAUGACAAAUGUCGACCUGGAGCUGUUGGGGCCAUCUGGGCAGAAAGGCUGUCCGGGAAUGAAGUCAAAGAGAUGGAAAAAGAGAAAAAGAGGCCGGCGUCUGGGGUCAUGGUUUGAGCCCCCGAAUCCAACUGUACCUGAAGCCCUGUCUGUUUCAGAAACAGAAGGCAAUAAAUUCAGCCUUUGCCUUAAGCCCGUCAAGCCAGUCUGGGGUGCCUCUUUUUUUUAAUCAACCAAACAAAUACUGGUUAAUAAAACUCCCUGCUCAAAAGCUCCUGGCGGCUCCUUCAUGCCUGCAGGGAGAGGCCAGCACCCUGGGCUCUGGGCCCCACUUGCCUUCCUUUUUGUCCUGAACUCUGGCCCUCAUCCCUCCCAGACAGGUAUCACCCAAGACUGCUGUUUCCCAAACACACCAUGAAGACUCGACCUACAGUUUCUACCCAAACUCUCCUCCACUCCCCACUUGAGCAGUGCCUGCUCACUAGAGCUUGCCUCCUCCUGGAAGCCUCCCCACACUUCCUCCACCACUCUGAGUGUCAGUGGCAUCUACCUCCAGCUUCCCAUCACUCUGCUUAUUUCCCCAGAGUGAAAUUCACUUUUUUUUUUCUUUUUCCUCUUCAAAAAAACUUUGUCUCACUGUAUCAUUUAAGAAAUGAACAUCCUGGAUUGACUUGGGAUUUGACAAAUUCAAACUUGGUUUUAACACACCAUGUGCAUUUCCUGAGCCCCAGGCGUACCAGCAGACACAGGGCUGAAAGACCCAGGGCCUACCCGCAGGGGCUUAGAGGCUGAACCAAACCGUUUCCCAUUUGGCUCAAGACAAUGGAUGCAAAAAUGACCAUUUUUAAAAUUUUAAAUUCAAAUUUAUUUUACUUGGGGAUAAUCAUCACUGACACUCACUGAGCCAUUGCUAGGUCAUUGUCUAUGGGCAGGUCCAUGCAUAAUGUUAUUUAAUCCUCACUCUGGGAAAUGUUAUCCUCACUUACAGAGGAGGUCACUGAAGCUCAGAGAAGUAAAGGGAGCUGCCCAGGGGGUUACAGCAACUGUAGGGAGCUGACCCUAUAUUCUAGCCCUUGUUAUCCUCCCUGGCCUUUCUCAACUGUGUGCGAAUACACUGGGGCCAGCUUCGAAGUCUUUUUAACAUUCACUGUGUAAACUCGGCACCAAGCUAGCUUCCCCUGGUUGCUCACAGGCAGGUGGCUGUCCACACCCACUUCUGUGUGGGGGCCUCUGGCGUCACAUUUCACACCCCUGUUCUGUAGGCAUCGGGUUUCAGAUUUGCUGUAUUUGCUUCCGCUGCCACUACCGGUAGAUCAGAAGCUGGGGAGGUGUUUCAACACAUGAUUGUUUUGAAUAUGGUGACUUCCCCAUCUAUCCCUGCCAUGGGUAACAUCCCAGCAGCCUCUUGAUAGCAGAACAGAGGCCAUUGAGCCUGGCCAAUGAGUGAGUCUCAAAUUCUAAGUUCGUGGGGGACUCACUUAAGAAGGGUGGUUUGUUCCAGCACCUGAUCAGAACCUGUGGCUCAUCCUCUGCAAAGUGGGCAUGAGGCACCACCAGAGGCUGCGGAGUGGCCAGAAUGAGGCAACAUAUGGAGGGGGUGUGGCACACGGUAGGUGUACACUAAGUGCUCAUUCCCUCUUUUCCUUACAGCCUUGCUGCUGGGGCUACCUUUCACCCACAUGCAGGCUUACUUGCCUGCACCCCCGGCAUGGCCCAAGAACCAGUUCUCUGAGUUCAGCCAGGACUUCCAAGAACCUAGCACAGCCAGGUCAGCUCCACUGUGUAUGAGUCCUGAACCCGACCCUAGGCCCCUGCUCCCUCAGUUGCCAUUUGCCAGGCUACCUCCUCCAUUGCUCCUAAAAUCUAGCUCAUCUGCCACCUCCUCCAGGAAGCCUUUGGGGAACUCCUCCAGAUAAAAACUCCAGUGUCCCUCCUCUGGGCUCCCACAGGCCUCAGAGCUCACCCCCUUCUCAGCCCUGAGUGCCAUGUGUAGUCAUUUCCUCUUUUCUAGUCCCUUCUCCCACAGAGCACUGUGAACAUCCCCAAGACAGAAACGAUGUGUUGCUCACCACAGCCUGGGCCCUACAGCUGGCCUGUCACAGGGCUGGUGACGACCGAAUGAAAGGAAAUGCCUAAUGUUUUCUGAGCACUUGCUACAUGCCGGGCACAGAGCCAGGGAUGCCCACAUGGAGAGGGCCUGCCUCACAGUGAAGACAGUAGGAAGGAAAGCAGAGGUAAGAGUUGAAAAGUCCAAAUCCAUAUAUGAACACUGCGAUUCCGCCAUUCCCGAAGCUAGUUACCCUCCAGACUUUUCAGUUCCAGGAGGCAAUGAAACCCCUUUUCUGCUUAUGCCCGUUAGGUUUGGAUUUUCUGUCACUUGCUACUAAGACAGCCCUCACUGACCAAGUGAAGCUCAGAGAUGGGACCCAACACACCCAAGGUCACAUAGCUACGAAAGCAGUGGAACAGAAACUCCCAU